GAUCAUUGACAUACUUGAUACGAACAAUGGCAACAAGCAUUACUCGGCAGGUGAAAUGCCUGCACGUGAUUAACCCAUUGUCGUUAGCCUGCGACCUAAUGUGCGCAGGGCGAAGCCGUGGCAGGCACGGAACACCCGAGGCUCGAAAGCCUCCUGACGACAC
rnacentral:sRNA from 1 species